UGCGUAGGCGGUUUGGUAAGUCUUCUGUGAAAUCUAUGGGCUCAACUCAUAGACUGCAUGAGAAACUGCCGGGCUGGAGUGUGGGAGAGGUGAGUGGAAUUCCUGGUGUAGCGGUGAAAUGCGUAGAUAUCAGGAGGAACACCUGUGGCGAAAGCGGCUCACUGGACCAUAACUGACGCUGAUGCACGAAAGCUAGGGGGAGCAAACAGGAUUAGAUACCCUGGUAGUCCUAGCCCUAAACCAUGAUUGCUUGGUGUGACGGGUACCCAAUCCCGCCGUGCCGUAGCUAACGCGUUAAGCAAUCCGCCUGGGGAGUACGGUCGCAAGGCUGAA
rnacentral:rRNA from 1 species